GGUGGAUGUUGGUACACAGAUUGCACUUUUGAUUGUAACAAAGAAACAUAUUUAUCAAGCAUUGACAUUAAAGCCUCAAAUUCAGUCACUUGCCGCUCUAUUGUAUCAAUUUGCUGAACACACUCAUCAAAACUAGCACUUUUUGACUUCAAAUGCUCCACAAAAACCCUCAAUCCAGAAGCCACAUCCCCAAAACCUUUAUACUCUUCGGCCACUUUCAGAUUCAUUUUCUCUACGAGUUCCAUCAGAUUAUUUGUCCCCUG
rnacentral:misc_RNA from 1 species